rnacentral:rRNA from 1 species
AUGCGCGAGCUCCGCCGCCCCUACUUCCGUCAAGCUGUGUGGCUCCACCACCAUCUUCAGCCGCUCCCGCCUGCAGAACCCUCAACCUGUAACCGUCCUCGACCUCGCCUCGUGCACGACGUCGACCACCUCCUCUGCUCCAGGUGUGGACACCUCCUGCUCGAGACCACACCUUCAGCCUCGCCAUGGUUCCCCUGCACUAGCUACGUCCAUCAAGGAUGUUGGCCCGCUUCCUUCUCUUGUCGAGACCGAGACCCCGUGGGUGUCAAGCUCUUCCAUGAUGCCCGAACGACUACGGGCCGGGACGCCAAGUCCAACGACCACUGA